rnacentral:rRNA from 1 species
CCAAUGUGAACGUUACCAAACUGUUGCCUCGGCGGGGUCACGCCCCGGGUGCGUCGCAGCCCCGGAACCAGGCGCCCGCCGGAGGAACCAACCAAACUCUUUCUGUAGUCCCCUCGCGGACGUAUUUCUUACAGCUCUGAGCAAAAAUUCAAAAUGAAUCAAAACUUUCAACAACGGAUCUCUUGGUUCUGGCAUCGAUGAAGAACGCAGCGAAAUGCGAUAAGUAAUGUGAAUUGCAGAAUUCAGUGAAUCAUCGAAUCUUUGAACGCACAUUGCGCCCGCCAGUAUUCUGGCGGGCAUGCCUGUCCGAGCGUCAUUUCAACCCUCGAACCCCUCCGGGGGAUCGGCGUUGGGGAUCGGGACCCCUCACACGGGUGCCGGCCCCUAAAUACAGUGGCGGUCUCGCCGCAGCCUCUCCUGCGCAGUAGUUUGCACAACUCGCACCGGGAGCGCGGCGCGUCCACGUCCGUAAAACACCCAACUUUCUGAAAUGUUGACCUCGGAUCAGGUAGGAAUACCCGCUGAACUUAAGCAUAUCAAUAAGCGGAGGAA